rnacentral:tRNA from 1 species
GGGCCAGUGGGAUAACGCGUCUGACUACGGAUCAGAAGAUUCUAGGUUCGACUCCUGGCUGGCUCG